UGAUGAACUUUGUGAGGUUGAAUGUCCAUGUGGCAUACAGUUUUGUUUUAGUUGUUUAUCUGAAGCUCAUUCACCUUGUUCUUGUCUCAUGUGGGAACUCUGGUCCAAGAAGUGCCAGGAUGAAUCAGAGACGGUUAAUUGGAUUGCAAUCAACACAAAGCCUUGUCCAAAGUGCCAGGAUGAAUCAGAGACGGUUAAUUGGAUUACAAUCAACACAAAGCCUUGUCCAAAAUGCCACAAGCCAGUUGAAAAGAAUGGAGGCUGCAACCAUGUAUCCUGUUUAUGUGGGCAAUCAUUUUGGUGAGAGCUCUUAUCUUUGUCUCUUGUAGAUAAUGGUUUGUGAUUUCUUGUUCCAUUUUGCAACAUAAUUAAAGGUAUGGACAUAAAAUCUUGGUAAGGAAGUUUUGACUGGAGGAAUUACCAAAAGGGCCUGUCACAUUUUACUUUGAUUGCCU
rnacentral:lncRNA from 1 species